rnacentral:lncRNA from 1 species
CACACACACACACACACACACACACACACACACAUACACACACACAGUUUCAGAAGAGAAAAAUGCUUAGAACCUGUAAAGAUUAUCCUCACAUCCACCAUUAGCUCUCUUAGUGAAAUUUUCCCAGGCUUACUCAAUUACAAGUAAUUUCAUGUUCACCCAGUUCACUUCCUUCACCCACUCUUAUAAGACCAAAGAUAAAGAUGUGCACACAUUUUUUUUUUUAUUCUCUAGAGGGUCAUCUUAGAAUCAAAAGACCACUCUGUUUUCCCAAACCUCCCCCCAGCCAGGAGUUUGUCAGGUUUUUUUUUCAUAUUUUCAAAGUAUCAAAUUUUUACUAUAUUGAUACUUUCUACAGUAUAUCUGUUUUCUAUUUCCUUAAUCUCCAAUCUUUUCAUUGGUAUCUCCUACCUCCUUAAUAAAUUUAAUUUACUGUUCUUUAUCUCAGACCUCUGCAAUGGGGAAGACAUUUAUUACAGUCUCCGUUUCAGAGAAUAAAGCUAGCCCAGCCUGGGGAAGUUUUACACAACAGAUUAAACACAGGUGGAAAAAUCACAGACACAAUCACAGACACACUGAGAGUCACUGAUCUUGACUGAUCAAACCUAACACUUAAGUCAUGCCCUGCACUUUCCAUUCCUUUCCCCCCAGGCUGGUUUGCUCCUGUUUUUGCAGAUUCCCUGGCAGAUCCCAGGCUCCUGACGUCUGGCUGCUCCAGACACAGCCAGUUUAGGUUGAAACUAAAUGAUCUCAUUCACCUGAACCUCAGUGUAGUUGCCUGCCUUUCCUGGAAUCCAACCCACCUCUUCCUUAAUCAGAUCCUUUUCCUCCACCCAGCCUCCUGGGGAGAAAGCCUUCCCCUCCUCUAAACUUUUAUUUAAAAACAAGCAAAAAAAAUGGCUUCCCAUUUGUGCUCUUAUGACUCCCCUUGAUGCUUACUGCAUUUUUCAAACCUGGUUCAAAACAGCUCCACUCCUCACCCCUAUUUUUAUUCUUUCCCCUGGUUCUCCUCUUUUGCCUGAGGUGUGUUUUGUUUGUUUUGUUUCCAUUUUUCAAUGCUCACCCAGGCAUGUAUAGGCAGACUCUGUUUUCACCACAACCAACCAAUUCUUGGAAUCUUCCUCCUAAAGACAGUUAUGUUUCCUUCUAAGAACAAUGACAACAUUGGGGAUUGCAUUCUUGAAGAAAGCUCAACAAUAAUUAAAUGAGUUUAUUAGUGUAUUCCUUAGGAUAGCAUCAUGUGAUUUGAAAAUGGGUCUAUGGACAAAUAAAUCUGAGUGACAAUGGAUUUAACAGAGUGCUUCCCAAACUCUGACAUGCAAGAAUACCCAGAUCUUUUUUGUGUUACCCACAUACCUCCUUUUUUUGGAAGGCAGGUUUCUAUGGAAGGCAUCUUGAGUGUAGAACAACCACUGAAUUAAGACAUGUGUAUGACAAUAACAUGUUAUUUUUUAAGAAACCAAGUUAAAAGAGCUGAAGGUUCUGUUCUCCAACUUCUAUGACAUGAGCACAAACACAUUCCAUGUGAUGAAUAUGCUAUUUGCUCUUAGAUCCACCGUCCACCCUGCCACCUCCCCAAAGGAGCUGACCUAUAAAGAACAGGCUCCCUUGUUCUUCAUUCCAGUCUCUUCCUUGAUGCCAAGAAUACUCCCCAAUAAAACUCUUGGAUCCAUCUCAGAAUCUACUUUCCAGAGAAUCGGCCUAUGACAAGAGUCAAAUAACUCUAUAGAUUUUAUGAGAAAGAGCAGCCUUUCUUUUUGCUCUCAUUACCAGUUUUCCAGAGGCAAUUAGUUUCAGCUCCUCUGAUAUAUUAUUUGCGUAUCCCUGGAAAAAAUGUUUAUAUUGCUACUUUUUAAAAAUUUUUCUGUUUUAGCAUUACCAUCAACUUACCUCUAUGGAAACUGAACAUAUUGCUCUCUUACACAUACACACAUACAGGGAUUGAGAGAGAGAGAGAGAACAAUUCCCAUCUACCCACCAUCCCAGUAAACUUAGAAUCAGUGCCCAGUAAACAUGUUAUUAUGACAAUACAUAAGUGACAAAGAAAGCUCAGUAAUAUAAUAGAAUAUGAUUGCUUUUCCCCUUACAUUUUCUUUCCCUAAAGUGAAUGUCUGACUUGUUUUUCCAUUUGCUUAGUUUUCUAUGUAUUUAUCACUAAUUUCCAAACACUCCCCCUGUAAAUCUCCUCUUUAUACAUUCAAACAAAUUAAGUACACUAUCACUUUUACUUUUUGGAAGAUGUCUCUUCUAGAACCUUCUGGACCACAUUAAUUGGAUGAUCGAUACCUAGGAUUGCCUACUGUUUUCUUGGAAUCUCCUUUCCCAUUAAUUUAGAGACUUCCUUUACAUCUUUCUUGCAUUGAAUCUCUUGUUUCACUCUUUCUUGGUUUACUUCCUUGUUCUGGUGGAGCCCAUCUAUCAGUACUUUCCUUGGAAAGGGUGCAUGGUAAGUAAAUUUUUUGAGAUCUUGUUUAUCUGAAAAAUAGUUUAUUUUACCUUUAUAGUUGGUUGAUGUAGGAAGAUAAUAGAUCUAAUGACUUCUCCUCCUUUAAGCAGAUGUCAUUAAAAAAAAAAACUCUUCUUCCUUUUAUUGUAUCUCUCUAGCUCCUAAGGUCUCCAUAGUUAAAGAAAAAAAAAAAAGCCAUGAAUAGAGACUUUAAUUCACAGGUUAAAGAUGUCCUUGGUCUAGAAAUAUCUUCACACAAUAUAGCUAAGUAUCAAUUUAGGUAAUAUGAGGAAUUACUUUUUAAAGGCAACUUAACUUUUCAAUUAUUUUUUAAAGCUGAGUUCACUUUUACUUCAUGAUUUAAUUUUAGAUGUCUAGUUUCAAAUAGUUUUAUUCCCAGAAAAACUAUACUUUAUUAUGUAGAUACUAAUGAGGAAUUCCAAAUCUCCUCCUAAAAUACAGAAGUAAUCCUAUAAAAAGUACAAAAGUCUAAAGAUGUGCCACAGUAAAAGUUUUCAUGUUAUGGAAUACCAUGCAGCUAUAAAAAAGAAUGAUAUCACGUUCUCUGUAGGAACAUGGAUGGAGCUGGAGACCAUUAUUCUUAGCAAACCAGUGCAAGAACCAAAAACCAAAGACCGCAUGUUCUCAGCUUGGCCAACAUGGUGAAACCCUGUCUUUACUAAAAACACAAAAAUUAGACAGGCAUGGUGGCACAUGCCUGUAAUCCCAGCUACUCGGGAGGCUGAGGUGGGAAGAUCAUCUGAGCUCAGGAGGCGGAGGAUGCAGUGAGCUGAGAUCAUGCCACUGCACUUCAGCCUGGGUGACAGAGCGAGACUCUGUCUCACUGCCCCUCCCCCCUGCCAAAAAAAAGACAGCAUGUUCUCACUUACAGGUGGGAGCUCAGUGAUGAGAACACAUGGACACAUAGAGGGGAACAACAUACACUGGGGCCUAUGGGAGGAUGGAAGGUGGGAGGAGGGAGAGGAUCAGGAAAAAUAACCAAUAGGUACUAGGCUUAAACCUGGGUGAUGAAAUAAUCUGUACAACAAACCCCCAUGGCACAAGUUUACUUAUAUAACAAACCUGCACAUGUACCUCUGAAUGUAAAAUAAAAGUUAAAUUAAAAAAAAGUUUUCAUGUUAGAGUAAAUAUACAGAAAAAUAGUUAUAUUAGAUAUUACUGCAUUUUAUUUAUUUAUAUAUCUACAUACACAUUUAUGUAUAUUUGUAUAUAUAUUAUGCAUGCACAUAUAUAGCUAAUGCAUCCACAUUAUUCAAAAAUAAGAAUUGUAAAAGUAUACAAUGAAAAGUUUUUUUCCCCACCCAGUUUCCUAGCUCAUAGAAAAUGAUUACUUGUUUUUUUGUGUUUCCUUCUAGAGAUAUUUAAUGCACAUACAACCAAUUAUUAGGAAAUACUUUGGUAAUCUGAAAGGAGUUUAAGGAAUAAAUUAUUCAAAAUGGUGUGGACAGAGCAGAAGGAAAUGACAUGGAAUGGUAAGGCAUCUGUAAUUUUAUUACAAAGCUAUAGUAGUCAAAACAGUAUGGUACUGCCAUAAAAACAGACACAGAGACCAGUGGGACAGAAUAGAGAGCCCAGAGGCCAAGUUAUGAAUUUAGUCCAUUCAUUUUCAACAAAGGUGCCAAGAACACACAUUGGGGAAAGGAUGGUCUCUUCAGUAAACGGUGUUGUGAAAACUGGAUAUUUACUUGCCAUAGGAUGAAAAUGGACUCUUAUUUCACACCAUAUACAAAAAUCAACUCAAAGUGGAUUGAAGACUUAAAUACAAGUCCUGAUACUAUAAAAAUCCUGGAAGAAAAGAGAGAAGAAAAGUUUUUGACACUGGGCUUGCCAAUAAUUUUUGGGGGUAUGACACCAAAAGCACAGGCAACAAAGUCAAACACAAAUAAGUAGCACUACAUCAAACUAAAAAAUUCCUGCACAGCAAACCAUAUAUCUGAUAGGGGCUUAAUAUCCAAAAUGCAUAAGGAACUCAUGCAACUCAUAACGUGAUUAAAAAUAGAGCAAAGGACCUGAAAAGACAUUUUUCCAAAGAAGACAUACAGAUUGCCAACAGGUAUAUGAAAAGGUGCUCAACAUCACUAGUCAUCAGGGAACUGCAAAUCAAAACCACAAUGAGAUAAGACCGCAAACCUACUAGGAUGGCUAUUAUCACAAAAUCAAAAAAUAAUUAAGUGUUGGUGAGGAUGUGAAGAAAAGGGUACAAUUGUAAAUCGGCACAACCAUUAUGGAAAACAGUAUGGAGUUUCCUCCAAAAACUAAAAAUAGAACUACUGAAUGAUUUAGCAAUCCCACUUCUGUGCAUAUAUCCAAAGGAAAUGAAAUCAGUAUCUCAGAUAUAUCUGCACUGCCAUGUUCAUUGAAGCGUUAUUCCCAGUAGCCAAGAUAGAGAAACAAACUGUGUUCAUCAAUAGACAAAUGGUUAAAGAAAAGUUGUGUGUAUGUAUAUGUAUAUGUGUGUAUAUAUGUAUACCUAUGCAUAUAUGAAUAUACACAUAUAUGUAUACCUAUGUAUAUAUGAAUAUACACAUAUGUAUACAUAUGUAUAUAUGAAUAUACACACAUAUGUAUACAUAUGUAUAUAUGAAUAUACACAUAUAUGUAUACAUAUGUAUAUAUGAAUAUACACAUGUAUACAUAUGUAUAUGAAUACACAUAUGUAUACAUGUGUACAUGUGAAUACACUUAUGUAUACAUGUGUACAUGUGAAUACACAUAUGCAUGCAUGUGUACUUGUGAAUACACAUAUGCAUGCAUGUGUACAUAUGAAUAUACACAUAUGCAUGCAUGUGUACAUAUGAAUACAC